AAGACGCGAUUGGUCCGCGGAAUCGGAGAGGCGGAAAACCCGGGCUGGAUUUCUGGUUGCUUUUGUUCCCGCAAAUUUGCGUGGAGCAUUGUUUUUCGGCGAAAACGGGGCGUUCGGCCUUCCUGCUUUAUUUUUGAGCGGUGUAAGAGGGAGGUAGUGGGUAUCUUCGAGAAACGGCCGCCGCGGGGUCCGGAGCCCCGGGUUCCAAUCCCGGGUCGGCCACUGCAAAGCUGUGUGACCUUGGGCGAGUCACUUGGCCUCUCUGAGCCCCAGGCGCCUCCCCGGGAAAAAGAGGGUAAUAAUAACCGCCCCCGAGGUUUGUGCGAAGGUGUUGAGCUCACAGAGGGCCGGCACCGGCACUUUUGAGGCGGCUGACUUGCCCUGGGGGUGUGAUGGGAGGUGCAAGCUUUCUCCAAAAGCCUCGUCCAAAUGGAGCCUUUAAAUCCGCCUUCUUUCCGCGGCUACUUCACCAGCUCGCCAAACGCAGAAAAUGCAAACACAGGGGAGGGGGCAAGGGAGCUGACCUGGCUGGAAGUAAACAGAAACGCCACCCUCCCCUGGCACUUGCAUUGGCACCGGAUUGCAGGUGGGGGAAGGGCCGGUGCACCCAACCACCUUUAAAUCCCACCACUUACACACAGGCAUAGAAGUAGAGCCGCGGGGGCUGGACGCUCAUUCCUCCCCUGCCCUUCCCCUAGAGCGCUGCUUUGAAUGUCUGUUGAUCUAGAACGGGGUCUGUUCAUUCAUGGGUUCCAGGUCCCAAGCGCCCGGGGGCAGCUGAGAGCAAAGCUGGCGCCCUCCCUACCCUGUGGAGCUUACACUCUGGUUCUGGGCAGUGCACACUAGAGAUUGGUUAAAUCAAUGAAUGAACUUUUUCAGGAUAUGGUCCAAGGUGCUGAAAACUUCCUAACAAAACUCUUCAGCCGAAUCUGGCACGCCUGUGGUUCCAGCUACUGGGUAGACCGAGGCAGGAGGAUCGCUUGAGGCCAAGAGUUUAAGACCAACCUGGGCAACAUGGUGAGACCCCCCCUCCCCGCCCCAGUCGCUCCAAAACAAACAAACCCCACAUUCUCCAGUCUUAGGUCUUCGAGGAUGAACAGAGAUUGCAGAAAGGCAUGGUUGGGAACAAAAAAAAUUGCUCUCCACUCCCCCAGCCCCCUCCACACCUUGGGCACAUUUCCCUGGAGCUGCCCCAGUGUUCUUUGUCAGUGUAGGAAGAAGCAAAAAUCUAAAUGGAGUCAGGAUGGCCUCCCACAUGGGCACAAGGGCAAGGCUGGGGACAGUUGGGUCUCCUCAUCUUAUUUCCCAGGUCUAGGCUGAUUUCUAUUAAUAAUUAAAUUAAUCGUCGUUGUCCUGGACCUCACUUCUUAAUGUGAUUCCAGGGAACUGGCCACAUUCCAAAAUUCAUAAUCUAAGGUAGUGAAAGAACGUGAACAUCAAGACAGUUUGGCUGGGCUCAGAGGCUCACAUCUGUAAUCCCAGUACUUUGGGAGGCCGAGGGUAGAUCCCUUGAGCCCAGGAGUUCGAGACCAGCCUGGGCAACAUGGCGAAAUCCCAUCUCUACAAAAACUACAAAAAUUAGCCAGAUGUGGUGGCAUGUGCCUGUAGUCCCAGGUACUUGGGAGACUGCAGUGGAAGGAUUGCCCGAGCCCGGGAAAGGGAGGUUGCGGUGAAUGGGGAUCCCGCCACUGCACUCCAGCCUGGGUGACAGCGUAAGACUCUGUCUCAAAAACAAAACAAAACAAAAGAUUCAUUUCUUAUUGAUAAAGCAAGCUCCUUGGAGAAAGAUCUUGGAACCUCAUUAGUGCUGGGGGUGGGGGUGGGGCUUCUUCAAUCCAGCCGAGCUGGCUGUGAAACCCCCAGGCUUUGGUACCAAGUGAGCUCCAGUCCCAGCUGUGGCUGACUGUGUGAACUUGGCUAUGCAUUCAGAGGCCUCUGAGCCUCAGUUUCCUCAUCUGUAGAAGACAGCCAGGAACCCGUCAUCCUGGCUAGCAGUGGAAGUCAAAGGUGCUCAUGGAAAGCCCUUGCUGGCUGGAACAAGGGAGGCCUGAGCUGUGGAAGUCCUUGGAUCAAGGUCCUCCCCACUUCCCGCUGCCUUUUUGGUCCUUCUUGCGUGCUCUUUGUGAUUUAAUGGCUUAGUAGGUUGAAUCAUGUCCCCCCAAAGUUUAUCUCUACCCCAAAUCUCAGAAUGUGACCUUAUUUGGGAAAAGAGUCUUUGCAGAUAUAAUUAAGGUAAGAGUCAAGAUAAAAUCACACUGAAUUAAGGUGAGCCCUACAUGCAAUGAGACUGUCCUUACAAGAUACAGAAAAGAACACAUAGAGACUUCGGGGGAAAGGAGACUAUGUGCAAGAAUGGCAGAGAUUGGAGCCAAGGAGUGCCUGGGCCUACCAGAGGCUGCAAGAGACAGGGAGGACCCUCCCCUAGAGCCUCCAGAGGGAACAGAGCCAUGCCCACACCUUGACUUUGGACUCCUGGCCUCCAGAACUGUGAGAGGGGCAGCCAGGGAAACCGAAACAAUGUCAUAUCCCCCCAGACAUCGGUGUGGCUCAGCUCAAUCCAGUUCACAACAAAUAUGAAAUCCCUGCCCUACAGGACCAGGCCUCAGGAAGGGCUUGGGGGCCUCAGAGGCAAAUGAGACCAGGUCCAUCGACCCUACAGAACUGACAACCUGGACUCCCCACUCUGAAGCAGGCAGGCUGCCUGAAGGAGGGGGCCUCCCUCAUAAGGAGAGGGCAGACGCUGACCUCCCGGGCCCUCCAGCAUUCUCUGGGUCCUGGCCCCGAGAUUCUGGUUUUCCACACAGGGCACCUACUGUCUCCCGCUUCCCUGACUCUGCCCGUGCACAAGGUAACCCCAGCUGCAAGCGUGCCAGGAGCUUUUCUCCACCUCUGCCUCGACAUCUGCCGCCUCUCCUCCUCUGGAGAGGGAGGCAGCUGAAGGACAGCAGCCCCACGCCUUGCUGGAGCGGCUGAGAUCGCUGGGAGGAGGUUGGGAGAGGACUCAGGGGCUCAGGCUAGAUCAGGAGGGUGGGCCCUGCCUCCUUGUGAGGGGGCCCAGCACCAGGGGGAGCCCACAGUCUAGGGUGCUGUUCAGCCAAAUUGGCUACCACUGGGUGUGAGGUCUGUGGUUGUGCAGGGUUGAAGGGCUGGGUGUCAUUUGCCUCUGAGGCCCCCAAGCCCUUCCUGAGGCCUGGUCCUAUAGGGCAAGGAUAGACUAUUUAUUGUAAACUGGGUUGCGCUGAGAGCCACACUCAUGUUUAGGGGGAAAUGCCAUUUUAUUGGUUUCCUGUGACUGCCCUACAAAUAACCACAAAGAGGCGAGGGGAGAAGUGGGGGCUGUCCCUUCCACAGAGCUGCAAUCAAGCACAAAUGACUCUAAUAGUAUCAAUUGUGAGAGAGAGAGAGAGAUUUGGAGUUCACCACAAAUUCCCCAAACAAACAAUUUUACAAGAAGGACAUGACCCGCCUGGCGUUACUGCUUAGUUCUGAAUGAGUGAUACCGACUGCAGCAGGUGACCAGGCCAAGCCCAGAAAUGGGCCACAGGGACCCCAAGCACAUGCUCUUCCCCCAGACUGCCACCAUCUUGCUUUUCCUUCAGACCUAGGACCCCACGAGAGGAGGGAUCUGGAGGCCAAGCCAGGAGCAGGACAACACCAACAGAGGCCUCAGAAGAAGACUCAGAGUGGGACAGGGGCUCCUUAAGUGAUUGGGGCUGGAAGUGCGCAGAGAAGCCCGGCGCGGCAGGGAAUUGUCUCUCCCUGGGGUGCUGCCAAGGUGUCUGUUGCUUGCCAGCUUUUCCAGCCAUGACUGCAGACAAAGUCCACCUAGAGUCAUAAAUGGGCAAUCAGCCCCGAACAACGUCCAGACCCGGUUUCUGCACGGCGAGGCGUUUUUGUCCAUGGCAGACUUGCUUACCCGGGUGUCUUUGGUGUGGGGCUAGAUGCAGCAUUUCCCCAGUGGGAAUGGCCCGGGGUCUUAUUUAAAGUGGAGGGUCCUAGGCCUGGCCCCACGUAUGGAGUCAGGGUCCCUAGGGGUAGGACCUUGGAAUCCGCAUUUUUUUUUUUUUGAGACAGGGUCUCCCUCUGUCACCCAGGCUGGAAUGCAGUGGCGCGAUCUCAGCUCUCUGAAACCUCUACCUCCUGGUUCAAGCGAUUCUCCUGCCUCGGCCUCCCGAGUAGCUGGUAUUACAGGCACGCACCACCAUGCCUGGCUAAUUUUCUAUAUUUUUAGUAGAGAUGGGGUUUCAUCAUGUUAGCCAGGCUGGUCUCCAACUCCUGACCUCAAGCCAUACACUGGCCUCCGCCUCCCUAAGUGCUGGGAUGACAGAUGAAGAAACUGAGGUUUAGAGCAGCCGCUUGCCCAGCGUAGACAGCGAGAAGGACAGGUCCAGUUCUGCUUGAUGAUGAAGCCUGUGUCUUCUCUGCUGUGUGAUCCUAAUCACGUUGGGAGGUUCCUGAGGAAGCAGAGGAUUUUGCCCUUGCAUUUGAGCCACAGCAGCUCUAGUAAAGAAACAUGCCAAGUUAGCCGUCUGGUCCCACGAGAAACAUGGGAAACGGGGAUCAGAGCCAUCCUAGCCGAACUCAGCCCAGAUCAGCAGGCCUUAGUGGACCCCAAGAUAGCCAUGGUUAAUGGAUACAGAAGGCAAACUUCAUUGUUUACCAUGGGGUCAGUAUCAGAGCACUUAUUAAGGCAGACACUGGGGCAUAGGAAAGAGGAUCAAGGCACAGUGUCUCCCCUGAGGAAUUUAUGUCCCCAGCUGGCGAGCAUGACGCGUACGUGAGUAAAUGAAGCCCCAGCAUCAUGUUGCUUUACUGUGACAUUUCUUGUGUCAUCAUCUCCUCGACAACAGAAGCUACUGUGUGCCUGGCAUCAUGUUAGGCUUUUUACACAUUUAAUCCUCAACACAGCCCUGCCCCAGGUAGGGUGCGUUGGGCUGCACACAUCAGAAAAUACAACUCAAAGGGCCUAAGCCAUUGUCAAGAAGUCCUGAGGUCUGAGGCUCUCCAGAGUUGGUUGACUCAUUAACUCAAGGACACCACUGAGGACCCAAGCUCUUUCCGUCUAUACAUUCUGCCCUCCUAGCGUGUCGGCCUCAGCCUCAGCCUGGCUGUCCUCAUACACUCAAGUGGCUGCAGCCAUUCCAGCCAGCAGCCAGUAGCAGAAGAAAGACUAUAAAGGCAAAAAAAUACCUUUCCCCGAAGCCCCUCUGCAGACUCUCAUUGGCCGGAUUGUCUCACUUGGCCAUGGUUAAACCACCCAGGAGAAUACAGUCACCAUGGCCACCCUUGAACAGUUAGACUAUGCCUUCUGGGGCUGGAGCCAGGCUCCUCUGAAGGCCAUGGCUGUGCAAAGAGUGUGAGUGCCAGAACACAAUGAGAGUUCUAUCUGUAAAUGAGGCUAGUACGGCUCAGAGAGGUUAUAUAACUUGUGUGAGGUCACACCUGGUAAGCUAUAGUGCCGGGUUUCCAACCUGGAUCUGUCUGACUCCAGAUCUCCCCUAGACCUCGGCUGCUUUCCACAGGGUGGUGGGCCGAGGCUGCUGUCAUCCCGGGCUGCUGCUACCCUGCUGCUCCCGCACUCUUUGUGGUCAUCCUCCUGCAUUACAGCCCAUUUUCAAUCACGUAGGUGCUCAGUAAUCACUCAUUUUUCAACUGGGCAGAUACAUUCACAGUCCCGGAUCAUCACAUGGACUCAUUCCAGCAAUGUUGUCUGCAGGCCAGGUCUGCCAGAUGAAUCCCCGCCCCACCGGCAACGGAUUCCGCAGCCCGUGGACACACUUUCUUCCUUCCCGUUCACGUGGCUAUUUCUCUGAGAACCAGCAGCAGUGCUAGGAGGAGGGAAGGAAGUUAUUGACUCUGUCACUCAUUAGCAUCUCCGAGGAAGUGUGACCAGGAGGAGGCUGGAGAGGCUGUCUAUCCGUGGUUUCCUGCUGUUGAACCCAUGGCUGGCCCUGACGGAGGACACCUGCGGAAUAGGCACGUUGUCCACAACAUUCUCAAUCCUCAGCGUUCACUUGGAUCUUGUGCCGUGAUUAUCACUCGCAUGAACACUAGCUUCCGCCCUGCCUUGGCCCCGAGCAGACUGCGCUGGAAUGCUCCUCACCCUGUCAGCUUAUUAAUGGUUAGCAGCUCUUAAUAAGUGAGAGCAUUGGAAAAGGCUAGCGCUUUGGAAACCUGACUUCUGUACUUCCUAUCUGUGUGGGCUUGGGUGUGCCUUACUCCGUCUGUGCCUUGGUUUUCUCACUGUGUAAUGCGUAAUGCCUUGCAGCAUUGCUGUGUGGCUCGAGGACCAUGAAUAUUGAGGAUCCAGCGCAUUGUAGGCACCCAAGAGCGGUGGACACUGAUACCAUUAUCAAUGGACUUGGGCCAGUAAAACAGGGAGGAAGUCAAGGCUCCUAAGUGAAACCAUUGAGUUGUUUGUUUGUUUUGAGAUGGAGUCUCACUCUGUUGCCCAGGCUGGAGUGCAGUGGUGCAAUCUUGGCUCACUGCAACCCUCCGCCUCCCGGGUUCAAGCGAUUCUCCUGCCUCAGCCUCCCGGGUAACUGGGACUACAGGCGCACGCCAUCACACCCAGCUAAAUUUUGUAUUUUUGGUGUAGAAGGGGGUUCACCAUGUUGGUCAGGCUGGCCUUAGGCUCCUGACCUCAAGUGAUCCACCCGCCUCGGCCUCCCAAAGUGCUGGGAUUAUAGGUGUGAGCCACUGCGCCUGGCCGAAACCAUUGAGUUUUACGAACUUCAGUGCCAAUUUAUUACAGCCCUUGGGGUGUGGCCUGCGUUGGACUCUAGUGAAGAGAGUUGAAUCUCCUAGUAGUCAGCUGGCAUCUUAGCAUACACUGAAGCAGGGGUUGACAUUUUUCUAUGAGGACAGGCUUCAAAGUCUUUCGAGCUUCCUUGCUUUGUCCAGGGAACUGGGAAAGAAAAAUUUAAGGGAUUUAUGCUGCCUUCUGGGUAGGAGUGUAACUUCCUGUUGCUGCUGUAACAAUAGUUACCACACACUCAGUUGCUUAAAACAACACAAAUUUAUUCUCUGACAGUUCUGGAGGCCAGAAGUUCAAAAUGAGUUCCAUGAGUUUAAAACCAAGGUGUCAUCAGGGCUGGUUCUUUUUUUUUUUUUUUCCUUGAGACCGAGUCUCACUCUGUCGCCCAGGCUGCAGUGCAGUGGCGCAAUCUCCGCUCACUGCAAGCUCCUCCUCCCGGGUUCAAGUGAUUCUCCUGCCUCAGCCUCCCAAGUAGCUGGGACUACAGGCGCCCACCACCACGCCUGGCUAAUUUUUUGUAUUUUUAGUAGAGACAGGGUUUCACCAUGUUAGCCAGGAUGGUCUCGAUCUCCUGGCCUUGCAAUCUGCCCGCCUUGGCCUCCCAAAGUGCUGGGAUGACAGGUGUGAGCCACCGCACCUGGCUAGGGCUGGUUCUUUCUGGAGGCUCAGAGGGGAACCCAUUUCCUUGUCUUUUCCAGUUUCUAGAAGCUGCCUACAGUCCUUGGCUCAUGGCUCCUUCUCUAUCUCCAAAGUGCAUCACUCUGCCCUCUGCUUCCACAGUCACAUCCCCUUCUUUUACCUUUGAACUUCUUGUCUCCCUCUUUUCUUUUCUUUUUUUCUUUUUCUUUCUUUCUUUUUUUUUUUGAGACAGGGUUUCACUCUGUCACCCAGGCUGGAGUGCAGUGGUGUGUUCACAGCUCACUGCAGCCUUGACCUCUUGGGGCUCAAGCGAUCCUCCUGCCUCAGCCUCCAAGUAGGUGGGACCACAGAUGUGUACCACCAUGCCUGGCUAACUUUUUAAUUUUUUGUAGAGACGAGGUCUCCCUUUGUUGCUCAGGCUGGUCUUGAACUUACUCAGUAUCAUGAGAACAGCACGAGGGAAACUGCCCCCAUGAUUCAAUUACUUCCCACCAGGUCCCUCCCACAACAUGUGGGCAUUAUGGGAUUACAAUUCAAGAUGAGAUUUGAGUGGGGACACAAAGCCAAACCAUAUCAUUUCACCCCUGGCCCCUCCCAAAUGUCAUGUCCUCACACUUCAAAACACAAUCAUGCACUUCCAACCGUCCCCCAAAGUCUUAACUAUUCCAGCAUGAGCCCAAAAGUCCAAGUCCAAAGUCUCAUCUGAGACAAGGCAAGUCCUUUUCACCUUUGAGCCUGUGAAAUCAAAAGCAAGUUAGUUACUUCCCAGAUACAAUGGGGGUACAGGCAUUGGGUAAAUGCACCCAUUCCAAAUGAGAGAAAUUGGCCAAAACAAACGGGCUACAGGCCCCACGCAAGUCCGAAAUCCAAUGGGGCAGUCAUUAAACCUAAAAGUUCCAAAAUGAUCUCCUUUGAUUCCAUGUCUCACAUCCAGGUCACGCUGAUGCGAGAGGUGGGCUCCCACGCCCCUCCCAGCUGCUUUCGUGGGCUGGCGUUGAGUGUCUGUGGCUUUUCCAGGUGCACAAUGCAAGCUGUUGGUAGAUCUACCAUUCUGGGGCCUGGAGGAUGGUGGCUCUCUUCUCACAGCUCCACUAGGCACUGCCCCAAUGGGGACUCUGCGUGGGGGCUCCAAUCCCACAUUUCCCUCCUGCACUGCCCUAGCAGAGGUUCUCCAUAGCAGGGAGCUCCACCCCUGCAGCAAAUUUCUGCCUGGACAUCCAGGUGUUUUCAUACAUCCUCUGAAAUCUAGGUGGAGGUUCCCAAACCUCAAUUCUUUUUUUUUUUUUUUUGGAGACAGAGUCUUGUUCUGUUGGCCAGGCUGGAGUGCAGUGGCAUGAUCUCAGCUCACUGCAACCUCUGCCUCCCGGGCUCAAGCAAUUCUCCUGCCUCAGCCUCCCGAGUAGCUGGGAUUACAGGGGUGUGCCACCAUGCCUGGCUAAUUUUUGUAUUUUUAGUAAAGACGGGGUUUCACCAUGUUGGCCAGGCUGGUCUUGAACUCCUGACCUCAGGUAAUCCAGCCGCCUUGGCCUCCCAAAGUUCUGGGAUUACAGGCGUGAGCCACCGUGCCUGGCCCAAACCUCAAUUCUUGACUUCUGUACACCUGCAGGCCCAACACCAUGUGUCAGCCACCAAGGUUUGGGGCUUGCACCUUCCGAAGCAAUGGCCUGAGCUGUGUGUUGGACCCUUUUAGCCACAGCUGGGAUGCAGGGCACCAAGCCCCGAGACUGCACAGAGCAGCAAGGCCCAGGGCCUGCCCCUCGAAAUCACUUUUUCCUCUUAGGCCUCCAGGCUUGUGAUGGGAGGGGCUGCUGUGAAGGUCUCUGACAUGCCCUGGAGACACUUUCCCCAUUGUCUUGUCAAUUAACAUUUGGCUUCUUGUUACUUAUGCAAAUUUCUGCUGCUGGCUUGAAUUUCUUCUCAGAAAAUAGACUUUUCUGGCCGGGCACAGUGGCUCAUGCUUGUAAUCCCAGCACUUUGGAAGGCCGAGGGGAGUGGAUCACCUGAGGUCAGGAGUUCGAGACCAGCCUGACCAGUCUGGUGAAACCCUGUCUCUACUAAAAAUACAAAAAUUAGCCAGGCGUGGUGGCAGGUUCCUGUAAUCCUGGCUACUCAGGAGGCUGAGGCAGGAGAAUUGCUUGAACCUGGGAGGUGGAGGUUGCAGUGAACGGAGAUCAUGCCACUGCAUUCCAGCCUGGGCAACAGAGCAAGACUCUGUCUCAAGAAAACAAAGAAACAAAAAAAACCCAGAAAAUAGGUUUUUCUGUUCUAUCACACUGUCAGGCUGCAAAUUUUCCAAACUUUUAUGCUCUACUUCCCUUUUAAACACACGUUCCAAUUCCAAACCAUACCUUCGUGACUACAUAAAACUGAAUGCUUUUAAGAGUAUCGAAGUCACCUCUUGAAUGCUCUGCUGCUUAUACAUUUUUUCCACCAGAUACCCUAAAUCAUCUCUCUCAAGUUCAAAGUUCCACAGAUCUCUAGGACAGGGGCAAGAUGCUGCCAGUCUAUUUGCUAAAGCAUAGCAAGAGUCACCUUUGCUCCAGUUCCCAACAAGUUCCUCACCUCAAUCUGAGACCACUUCAGCCUGGACUUCAUUUAUUCACAUCACUGUCAGCAUUUUGGUCAAACCAUUCACCAAGUCUUUAGGAAGUUCCAAACUUUCCCACAUCCUCCUGUCUUCUGAGCUCUCCAAGUCUCCAGGAAGUUCUAAACUUUCCCACAUUUUCCUGUCUUCUUCUGAGCCCUCUGUUCCAACCUCUGCCAGUUACCCAGUUCCAAAGUCGCUUCUGCACUUUCAAGUAUCCUUAUAGCAGCACCCUACUCCCAGUACAAAUUUACUGUAUUAGUCUGUUCUCAGGCUGCUGUGAAGAAAUACCCAAGAGUGAGUAAUUUAUUUUUAUUUAUUUAUUUUUAUUUAUUUAUUUAUUUUGAGACGGAGUCUCACUGUCACCCGGGCUGGAGUGCAGUGGCACAGUCUGGGCUCACUGCAAGCUCCACCUCCCAGGUUCAUGCCAUUCUUCUGCUUCAGCCUCCCAAGUAGCUGGGACUACAGGCGCCCACCACCACGCCCAGCUAACUUUUUUGUAUUUUUAGUAGAGACGGGGUUUCACCAUGUUAGCCAGGAUGGUCUCGAUCUCCUGACCUCAUGAUCCGCCUGCCUCAGCCUCCCAAAAUGCUGAGAUUAAAGGCGUGAGCCACCGCGCCCGGCAUUUUUUUUUUUUUUUUUUGAGACAGAGUCUUGCUUUAUCACCCAGACUGGAAUGCAGUGGCAUGGUCUCAGCUCACUGCAACCUCUGCCUCCUGUGUUCAAGCAAUUCUCCUGCCUCACCCUCCCCAGUAGAUGGUAUUGCAGGUGCGGGCCACCACACCUGGCUAAUUUUUAUAUUUUUGGCAGAAACGAGGUUUCCCCCAUGUUGGCCAGGCUGGUCUCGAACUCCUGACCUCAGGUGAUCUGUCCACCUCAGCCUCCCAAAGUGCUGGGAUUACAGGCAUGGGCCACUGCGCCCUGCCCUUAUUAUUAUUAUUUUUUUUUGUGGAGACAAGGUCUCACUGUGUUGCCCAGGUUGAUCUUGAAUUCCUGGCCUUAAGUAAUCCUCCCACCUUAGCCUCCCAAAGCAUUGGCAUUAAAGGCAUGAGCCACCACACCCGGCCAAGAUACAUAACUUAAUCACAUCUGCAAAGUCCCUUUUACCACAUGAGGUCACAUCCACAGGAUCUGGGGAUUAGGACGUGGGCAUCUUUUUGGGGGCCGUGAUUCACUCUGCCACAGUGGGUACACAGCAAGCCAAUGAUGGGGGUAAUUAAGUUAGCAUUAAAUAUCCCACGUGUUCUAUGUUCUAGAGCAGUGAUCAUGCCCCUGGGGUGUGAGGUGAUCCACUG
rnacentral:lncRNA from 1 species